rnacentral:rRNA from 1 species
AGAGUUUGAUCCUGGCUCAGGAUGAACGCUAGCGGCAGGCCUAAUACAUGCAAGACGAACGGUAAGAAUUGUAGCAAUAUGAUUCCAAGAGUGUCGUACGGGUGCGUAACACGUAUGCAACCUACCUUGUACAGGAGUAUAGCUCGGGGAAACUCGAAUUAACCCUCCAUAAUAUAGUCGGAUGGCAUCAUCUGAUUAUUAAAACUACGGUGGUACAAGAUGGGCAUGCGUUUGAUUAGCUAGUUGGCGGUGUAAUGGACCACCAAGGCGAUGAUCAAUAGGGGAACUGAGAGGUUGAUCCCCCACACUGGCACUGAGAUACGGGCCAGACUCCUACGGGAGGCAGCAGUAGGGAAUAUUGGUCAAUGGAUGGAAGUCUGAACCAGCCAUGCCGCGUGCAGGAAGAAGGCCUUCUGGGUUGUAAACUGCUUUUGCCAGGGGAUAAAAAUUCUUUGCGAAGAAAAUUGAAGGUACCUGGUGAAUAAGCACCGGCUAACUACGUGCCAGCAGCCGCGGUAAUACGUAGGGUGCGAGCGUUAAUCGGAAUUACUGGGCGUAAGCGUGCGCAGGCGGUUUUGUAAGACAGAUGUGAAAUCCCCGGGCUCAACCUGGGAACUGCAUUUGUGACUGUAUAGCUAGAGUACGGCAGAGGGGGAUGGAAUUCCGCGUGUAGCAGUGAAAUGCGUAGAUAUGCGGAGGAACACCGAUGGCGAAGGCAAUCCCCUGGGCCUGUACUGACGCUCAUGCACGAAAGCGUGGGGAGCAAACAGGAUUAGAUACCCUGGUAGUCCACACUGUAAACGUUGAUUACUCGCUGUGUGCGAUAUACAGUACGCGGCCAAGCGAAAGCGAUAAGUAAUCCACCUGGGGAGUACGGUCGCAAGAUUAAAACUCAAAGGAAUUGACGGGGACCCGCACAAGCGGUGGAUGAUGUGGAUUAAUUCGAUGCAACGCGAAAAACCUUACCUACCCUUGACAUGUCAGGAAUCCCGCUGAGAGGUGGGAGUGCUCGAAAGAGAGCCUGAACACAGGUGCUGCAUGGCUGUCGUCAGCUCGUGUCGUGAGAUGUUGGGUUAAGUCCCGCAACGAGCGCAACCCUUGUCAUUAGUUGCCAUCAUUCAGUUGGGCACUCUAAUGAGACUGCCGGUGACAAACCGGAGGAAGGUGGGGAUGACGUCAAGUCCUCAUGGCCCUUAUGGGUAGGGCUUCACACGUCAUACAAUGGUCGGUACAGAGGGUUGCCAAGCCGCGAGGUGGAGCCAAUCCCAGAAAGCCGAUCGUAGUCCGGAUCGGAGUCUGCAACUCGACUCCGUGAAGUCGGAAUCGCUAGUAAUCGUGGAUCAGCAUGUCACGGUGAAUACGUUCCCGGGUCUUGUACACACCGCCCGUCACACCAUGGGAGUGGGUUUCACCAGAAGUAGGUAGCCUAACCGCAAGGAGGGCGCUUACCACGGUGGGAUUCAUGACUGGGGUGAAGUCGUAACAAGGUAAAGGG